GACGAAGGGGGCUAGCGUUGUUCGGAAUUACUGGGCGUAAAGCGAGUGUAGGUGGUUGUCCAAGUUGGAUGUGAAAGCCUUGAGCUCAACUCAAGAAAUGCAUUCAGGACUGGAUGGCUAGAGGACCGGAGAGGAUAGUGGAAUUCCCAGUGUAGUGGUGAAAUACGUAGAGAUUGGGAAGAACACCAGUGGCGAAGGCGGCUAUCUGGACGGUUUCUGACACUAUGACUCGAAAGCGUGGGGAGCAAACAGG
rnacentral:rRNA from 1 species